AUGCUCUCCAGUCCGCGGAACUCGGGCGGCUCCUAUCAGCGGGUCCGCGGGGGGCUUGAUGCACAGAAAUGCAGUCCAGAGAAAAGUGCCUCAUUUUUCAGUAAAGUGACAUAUUCCUGGUUUAGCAGAGUAAUUACUUUAGGCUAUAAGAGACCUUUGGAAAGAGAGGAUCUUUUUGAACUAAAGGAAAGUGAUUCCUCCUACACUGUGUGUUCCAUCUUUGAAAAACAAUGGAGAAAGGAAGUUUAAAGGAAUCAAGAGAGGCAAAAAGUAAAGGCAUCUUGUUAUAAAGAGGCACAUAUCAAGAAACCAUCUCUACUCUAUGCAUUGUGGAACACCUUUAAAUCCUUCCUGAUUCAAGUUGCCUUAUUCAAAGUGUUUGCUGAUAUUUUGUCCUUCACUAGCCCACUCAUAAUGAACCAAAUUAUCAUUUUCUGUGAACACAGCUCAGAUUUUGGCUGGAAUGGCUAUGGCUAUGCAGUGGCACUUCUUGUUGUAGUCUUUUUGCAAACUCUGAUUCUUCAGCAAUAUCAACAUUUUAACACGCUCACCUCAGCAAAAGUUAAGACAGCUGUAAAUGGACUGAUCUACAAAAAGGCCCUACUUUUAUCAAAUGUUUCUCGACAAAAGUUUUCCACUGGGGAAAUUAUUAACUUGAUGUCAGCAACUCAUGGGCUUGACAGCAAACCUCAAUCUCCUCUGGUCUGCCCCUUUUCAAAUCCUAAUGGCCGUAUAUCUCCUUUGGCAAGAGCUGGGUCCAGCAGUGUUAGCAGGGGUGGCAUUCCUUGUGUUUGUUACACCAAUAAAUGCUUUAGCUGCAACUAAAAUAAAAAAGUUAAAGAAAAGCCAAAGAAAGAACAAAGAUAAACAGACAAAACUACUCAAAGAAAUCCUACAUGGAAUUAAGAUCCUCAAACUUUAUGCAUGGGAACCCUCCUAUAAAAAUAAGAUUAUCAAAAUUCGAGAUCAGGAAUUGGAAUUUCAAAAAUCAGCUAGGUAUCUUACUGUAUUUUCCAUGUUGACAUUAACCUGCAUUCCAUUCUUGGUGUCCCUGGCAACCUUGUGUGUCUAUUUCUUACUGGAUGAAGGAAACAUUUUAACAGCCACUAAAGUGUUCACAUCGAUGUCUUUGUUUAAUAUUUUAAGGAUUCCUCUGUUUGAGUUACCAACCGUGAUCUCAGCUGUGGUCCAGACAAAUAUAUCCCUGGGCCGUUUGGAAGACUUUCUCAACACUGAGGAGCUUCUUCCUCAAAGUAUUGAAACAAACUAUACAGGAGAUCAUGCUAUUGGGUUUACAGAUGCUUCUUUCUCCUGGGAUAAAACAGGAAUGCCAGUUCUAAAAGACUUGAACGUAAAGAUUCCAGAAGGAGCUUUAGUGGCUGUUGUAGGGCAAGUUGGGUCUGAAAAAUCAUCCGUGCUUUCUGCCAUUCUAGAGGAAAUGGAGAAACUUACCGGAGUAGUUCAAAGAAAGGGCUCUGUGGCUUAUGUUUCUCAGCAGGCCUGGAUUCAGAAUUGCAUUUUGCAAGAAAACAUUCUCUUUGGCUCCAUGAUGAAGAAAGAGUUUUAUGAGCAAGUAUUGGAAGCCUGUGCUCUCCUUACAGAUUUGGAGCAGUUGCCAAAGGGAGAUCAAACUGAGAUUGGAGAAAGAAGUGUGAAUAUAAGUGGGGGCCAGCAACAUUGAGUAAGCCUGGCCAGAGCUGUCUACAGUGGGGCUGACAUCUACGUUCUGGAUGAUCACUUGUCUGCUAUUGAUGUUCAUGUUGGAAAGCAACUUUUUGAAAAAGUGAUAGGGUCCUUGGGCCUUUUGAAAAACCGGACUUGUAUUUCAGUGACACACAAUCUCACACUUCUGCCACAAAUGAAUCUUAUUGUUGUAAUGAAAAGUGGCAGAAUAACUCAAAUGGGAACAUACCAGGAGCUGCUGUGUAAAACCAAAAAUCUCACUAAUUUGCACCAAGUCAUCAGUGAACAAGAAAAAGCUCAUGCUCUAAAGCAAGUCAGUGCAAUCAACUCCAGAACUAGACCAAAAGACAAAAUCCUGGAGCAAAAACAUAGGCCCUCGUUGGAUCAAGGAAAACAGCUCUCAAUGAAAAAAGAAAAGAUCCCUGUUGGUGGGUUGAAGUUCUCCAUCAUUCUGCAGUACCUCCAAGCCUUUGGCUGGCUCUGGGUGUGGCUGACUGUGGUCACUUACUUAGGGCAGAAUUUGGUAAGCAUUGGACAGAAUCUAUGGCUUAGUUCACGGGCAAAAGAAGCAAAAAACAUGAAUGAGUUCACAGAAUGGAAGCAAAUAAGAAGCAGUAAACUUAAUAUCUAUGGAUUAUUGGGAUUAAUAAAAGGUCUUUUUGUCUGCUCUGGAGCCUACGUAAUCACUAGAGGAUCCCUGGCUGCCUCUCGAACCAUGUAUGUUCAGCUGUUAAAUAAUGUACUGCACCUCCCCAUCCAGUUUUUUGAAACAAAUUCCACAGGCCAGAUCAUCAGUCGUUUCACCAAGGACGUAUUUAUAAUUGAUAUGCGUUUGCAUUACUAUUUAUGGCUGUGGGUGAAUUGUACAUUGGAUGUUAUUGGAACAGUUUUGGUCAUUGUGGGAGCUUUGCCCCUCUUCAUUCUGGGGAUUAUUCCCUUAGUGUUCUUCUAUUUCUCUAUACAAAUAAGUAGAUACUAUGUGGCAAGCUCUCGGCAAAUCCGGAGGUUGACAGGAGGGUCCCGUUCUCUUGUCAUUUCCCACUUUAGUGAGACUUUAUCAGGAGUGUCCACCAUCAGAGCAUUUGGACAUGAACAGAGGUUUAUCCAGCAAUACAAAGAGGUGGUGAAUGAAAACUUGGUCUGUUUCUACAAUAAUGUAAUUUCCAACCUGUGGCUGUCUGUUAGACUUGAAUUUCUUGGCAACUUAAUGGUGCUUUUUGCUGCACUGCUUGCUGUGCUGGCUGGCAAUUCUAUAGAUUCAGCAAUAGUUGGUUUGUCUGUAUCCUAUGCCCUAAAUAUAACUCAUUCUCUGAAUUUUUGGGUGAAGAAAGCAUGUGAAAUUGAAACCAAUGCAGUUGCUGUUGAAAGAGUUUGUGAAUAUGAAAAUAUGGAUAAAGAGUCACCUUGGAUAAUGUCUAGAAGACCUCCAUUACAAUGGCCCAAUAAAUGUAUAGUGGAAUUUAUUAAUUAUCAGCCUUGAUACCGAGAUGAUCUUGGUUUAGCGUUGCAAGAUAUCACUUUCCAGACUCAUGGGGAAGAGAAGAUUGGAAUUGUGGGCAGGACUGGAGCAGGCAAAUCCACACUAUCAAAUUGCUUAUUUAGAAUUGUGGAGAGAGCAGGAGGCAAAAUUAUUAUUGACGGAAUUGAUAUAUCAACUACUGGACUUCAUGACCUUCGUGGCAAACUUAAUAUUAUUCCACAGCACCCUGUUUUAUUUUCUGGAACCCUUCAAAUGACCCUGGAUCCCCUAAACAAAUAUUCUGAUAGCAAGCUGUGGGAAGUGCUGGAAUUGUGACACUUGAAACAAUUUGUGCAGUCCCUUCCUGAGAAGCUACUGAGAUUUCAGAGGGUGGCGAGAACCUCAGCAUGGGACAACGGCAGCUGGUCUGUCUAGCUCAUGCUUUGCUUCGAAAAACAAAAAUUCUCAUCUUGGAUGAAGCAAUAGCCUCCAUUGACUUUGAGAUGGACAAGUUGGUGCAGACCACAAUCAGGAAGGAGUUUUCUGAUUGCAUCAUCCUGACCAUUGCUCACAGACUGCAAUCUAUCAUUGAUUCAGACAAGGUGCAUGUUCUAGACUCAGGAAGCAUUGUGGAACUCGAAGCGCCUCAGAAUUUGAUAUGUCAGAAAGGACUUUUCUAUGAAAUGACAACGAACGCUGGAAUAAUACAAGACUCAGGGACAAAAAAUAAAUUACUUCAGCUGAAGGCUAUUGGUAGUUCAAGUGUCUGCUAUGCUGCUGAGUUAAUGGGCCGAGGUAAUGGGUCUGAACCAUAUAAAGAGUUACUGGCUUCUGGAUGA